GUGUCUUUGACCGAGCGGCAAAGGUGCCAGCCUUCCAAGCUGGUGAGGUGGGUUCGACUCCCACAAGACACU
rnacentral:tRNA from 1 species